rnacentral:rRNA from 1 species
ACCGUUGGAGCCUCCUUGUGGGGUGACAGCGUGCCUUUUGAAGAAUGAGCCUGCGAGUUAGUGAUACGUGGCGAGGUUAACCCGUGUGGGGAAGCCGUAGCGAAAGCGAGUCUGAAUAGGGCGAUUGAGUCGCGUGUCCUAGACCCGAAGCGGAGUGAUCUACCCAUGGCCAGGUUGAAGCGCGUGUAAGAACGCGUGGAGGACCGAACCCACUUCAGUUGAAAAUGGAGGGGAUGAGUUGUGGGUAGGGGUGAAAGGCCAAUCAAACUCCGUGAUAGCUGGUUCUCCCCAAAAUGUGUUGAGGCACAGCGGUCGAGAUGAAGUUUAGGGGUAAAGCACUGUUUCGGUGCGGGCUGCGAGAGCGGUACCAAAUCGAGGCAAACUCUGAAUACUAAACUGGUACUCGGCCAGUCAGACGGUGGGGGAUAAGCUUCAUCGUCAAGAGGGAAACAGCCCAGACCACCAGGUCGACGCGGCC